GUCCAUCCACUACACCCACUUCUACGAUUCAGUCCGAGUAAGCUGCCCUCGUUGCGGCCAUGGAAUUCCUGAUGCAGCCCAUUCGCAGGUGAGGGGCCGUUUCUAAGAUGCUUGAGGGUGUUUGUGCGAAUCGUUGAUUGGAUUCUUGUAGUGACUGAAUCCUCUUUUUGGUUUGUGCGUCGUCAGGACGACAGUGCUAUAGGAGGUUAACGACAGUGAAAUCCCCCUGGAGCCACUGAGAUACCCGGUGCCAGUGCAGCUGGUGGAGUAGCAGCAAUCGAUGGUGGAAGCAGGGAGCGCGAAUGGCCAGAUCUGCGCUCAGCAGGGGAGGAUGGCGGCGGAGGGAGCGGAUCCUCCACCGGCGUCUGGACUGUCGGCUUGAACGGUGAACCCGCAGGCCCUAGGCUAGCGGAAAAAGGUGUGAAUCUGAACCCAUUUUGUUCAGUGGUGGUGCUGUACAGAUCUACCGGUUGCUAUUCGGUUAGUUGGUCUGCAAGAUUAUGCUGCCUGCUUUAGUGUGUAUGAUUGGUGGUGACAGUGUAGGAUUCUUUGGAUUUCAAACCGCCGCCUGUUAAAUUUGGUGUCGAUUUCAGAUAGUUUGGUUGCAUUAACAGAGGGAACAGGGUUAUAGGUUUGUGGUGGGUGUCUGAGCCUGAUUGCAAGGGUCAUCCUGUAUGAUGGAACGCCAACUUAGCAUUUGCAAAACAACCCUGGAGCACACAUGGGGAUUUUUGUGUGUGCUGCGUCUGAAAACAAUGCAUAGGAGCUAUUAAACAGGGCGUUCAUAGUGAUGAAAACGUACAGGAGGGAACACUUUCUGUAACUAAGCAUAUGUUAAUACUUAAUACAUGCAGUUAUGAUUUACCUGUAUCUCAUACGGCACUUCCGAUAAGAUUUUCAGAAAUUUGUGGCUGUUACAGACAUGGUCGAGUACCCUCCUGAUGCAAGAUAUGGAUUUUCUCUGGUUGUUGUUGGUGUGCAGGGUGCGAGUUGGUGCUGCUGCUCCAGGAAGAACGCGUGUCCGGACCGCACGUCGGCAUUGGAGAAAACGAUCCGGUCUUUUGCAGAUAAUCUGGUCUUUUGGAGGAACGAGUUUUGACUCGCUGGGGAAGUGUAUGAUUUCUACACUUUGUACUAGUUAACUGCCCGUGGGUUGAAACGGGGCCAUACAUAUUUUUAUUUUUAUUUUUUGCGGGCGACAUAUUUUAGGGGUUUAACAUCAAUUGUAUCAAACAUGUACCUCAUAAUACAAUCCAAUCUUUUUGGUAGAUAUUAUAUUUAAGGAUUGAACUCUGAGCAAUAAAAAGUGAAACAAUUCAUAAGGAAAUAUAAAUAUACUCUUAAGUUAUUU
rnacentral:lncRNA from 1 species